UACGGGGGGGGCAAGCGUUGUUCGGAAUUACUGGGCGUAAAGGGCUCGUAGGUGGCCGACUAAGUCAGACGUGAAAUCCCCAGGCUCAACUUGGGAACUGCGUCUGAUACUGGAUGGCUUGAAUUCGGGAGAGGGAUGCAGAAUUCCAGGUGUAGCGGUGAAAUGCGUAGAUAUCUGGAGGAAUACCGGUGGCGAAGGCGGCAUCCUGGACCGAUAUUGACACUGAUGAGCGAAAGCUAGGGGAGCAAACGGG
rnacentral:rRNA from 1 species